GUUUACCUACAUAGAUUCUUUUAUCAUUAUUGUUAUUCUUCUCAAUGACGACUCCGCUAAUCAAGCUCAAGCAGUCACCGAACUCGGCUCCGGUGCAUCAGAGGCAUUGGGCGUGCGCCUUCUCGUGCGCGAGACGAUGCGUAUCAUUGCGAAUCUAGUGACGUUGAGUGCAUCGAUCAGCGAGGCGGCCGUGGUUGUGGAUGAUGUGGGGUCGUCAUCGUUUGGAUUGGCGGAACGACCACAGUUUGUUGAGUUGAGCUUGAGGUUGAUCUGUGCAGAGGAAAUCGGCUGUCGGAGAUGGAACUACUUGGCGGAGAAAGACGGUGCUAGAAAGUUUAAGAGGAAUUCUUUCGUGUUGUUUCUUUGCAGAGUCCUCAAGCUCCUGCUGAGUUACCAGAAGGCUUUCCACAUGAUAUAUUAUGCAGAUCACCAUGGCUUCCCAAUUGUCACGUUCAUUGAUACACCUGAUGAAUGCAGGGUGAAGCAAUUGCUCACAAUUUGAGGGCCAUGUUUGGUCUUAAGAUAGAUAAGUAGUGAUACUUCAUAGUCUUUGCAUGGAUGAGUCCGUAUGAUAUGGCAAGGGCAUCUUGUGUCUGUCGAAAAUGGAGAUACACGAUUUGUAACCCUGUGUUUUGGCCUAAUGCGUGUUUAAAGGCCUGGUAGGUAACUUGUUAGUGUUUGUGAAUAUUCUCUUAAUUUAUGAUAUGUAAAUUAUUCAAAGCUUUAACUGGGCCUCUUCUAUGAAGCCUACUAAAGUGGUGGAAAACUGUCAGUUAUUAUAAUCAAAAUAUGAUGGUUCAUGGAGGAAAAUGUGGCUUUUGGGACCAAGGUUCCGCACUAAUGGUCUCUAUAUGAGUAGGAACAAAUAUAUUCGUGCAGGAUUUGCUGAGUGGAAGAUUACCAAUCCGGUUCACAUAGUAUGACUAUCAAUUCUGUAUUAAUGGCCUCAUAAUGCUCAUUUAAAAAAAAAAAAAAAAAAAUUUAGCUGUAAUUUCUUUCAUUAAUAAGUGUUGCCUGCGUUAAAACCAAAAAUUGUCUUAUUUAAUGAAAGCUUUAAGCAUUGAGAGAAAAGUAAGAUAUAUCAAAUUGUUAUAAA